UACGUAGGGUGCAAGCGUUAUCCGGAUUCACUGGGUUUAAAGGGUGCGUAGGUGGAGUGGUAAGUCAGUGGUGAAAUCUCCAAGCUUAACUUGGAAACUGCCGUUGAUACUAUCAUUCUUGAAUAUCGUGGAGGUAAGCGGAAUAUGUCAUGUAGCGGUGAAAUGCUUAGAUAUGACAUAGAACACCGAUUGCGAAGGCAGCUUGCUACACGAUCAUUGACACUGAGGCACGAAAGCGUGGGGAUCAAACAGG
rnacentral:rRNA from 1 species